UUCUGAUUAUGCGCAGAGUUUCCUUGUACUGAGCUUAUGUUCUCCACCCACUACUUAGUAAGAACUCCUUAACAACUUAAAGCUUUAUCCCUGUGAGUACCAGAAAAGUGAUCUGAGUAUUUAUUGAGCAGGGAGAAAAAACUGCUUGCUCCAGGCAGGGAGAAAGCUUAUGGAAAUUAUAUUAGACCUUCAGCAAAGUGCACAGCUGCAUCAUACAGAAGCUGAGACUCAAACUGACAGGCAAAUAAGCCAGAUCACGGAAGGGGCCUCUGUGUGGCAGCUCUGAGCUACCAAGUGUUGGACAACUAGGCAAAAAGUGCAGUGGAACAGGGCAGAAAAUAACACACUAACUUCAGGCAACUGUUGCUUUUUCAUGACCUGGAAAGUAACAUUUCCUGCAGAUGUCAGCUACUGUCUAGUGUGAUGCCCCAUUCUUCUGUUGAUGCUACAUGUGUCACUGAGUAAUACUGGCAAAUGCAAGAGGUCACUUGGAAUAAGGUGUAGAGCAGCUGCCUUUCUGCUUGUCAGUGGGGUUGUGUUUGCCUCUGUCACACAUCACAGAGCAAGAGAAGCCAACUUGAGGAGCAUGCAUGUUGUGAUAUCCUCAGUGAUUUCUUUUACAAUGCAUUCUGCUCAGACCAGUGAAUUUUGUUUAACUGACCAGUGAAAGGAAAAAAAAUUAAAAUGUAAAAGAAAACUGAAGAAGUUAAUUGUACCAGAAUUCAGCGAAGCUGAACGGCUUCCCGAAGAGCACUGAGUUUUCUGUACCAGAUUCUGCUCCAGUGGCUAGGACCUUUAUGGCUGCUGUUUCUUUUGCUGUGGGCUCUGUUGGAGGAAAAAAAAAAAAAAAAAAGCCACGGUGGAUCCUGUCCCUAAAGUAGAAAUUUUGUUUUUCAUUCUGCAAACAAAGCUAAAGAUCGGAGGAUAAUGAAUGAGAAAGUAAUUUGGGAUUGUGGCCAUUAAGUGUCCGGCUUCAGAACAAAAUUAUUCAGGAAAUCCCAGCAUUUCUUCCUACUGUAUCGACAAUAUUUGAAAGUUAUGUGUGCUUUGAGUAAUGUGGUUCAAGUGACAACAAUCUCUGCAUGUCAAUGUUUUCUACAGCUUAUGAAGCGAAAGCCAUUGGAAAGGAAGACGCUUUUGCUAGCAGUCUGUAGAAGGAUUAAAUGUUGAAUGUGGGGAAGAGGCAAAAAGUGAAUACACGCCCAAAGGUUAUCCUUGCAUCAUGAAUGGGUUUAAAGUACUCCGUAAUGCAGGGCCCACCUGAAUAGUAGGACUAAAAGUAUAAGGAGGAAAUAUUUCAAUUAGAAACCCCUUAACAAGCAUUUAAUCCUUCUUUCAGGCAUUAAGAGAAAUAGAAUAAAAUAGUUACUGUACAAAUCUGUUGGCAGCAAAUUUUAACCCAUUUUUAGACUCUUCCCUCUGAUGCAUUAUAAUAUGGCUACUUGCGAGACAAGGCAGUGAAGAUUUUUCUCCUGUGUUCUUUGUUUUUUCUUUUCAGAAGUUAAGGACUAUAAGAAAAGUCUGUUCAGUCAGCUGAUACAUUGUUUGAAUGUAUGUAUGUGUCUUGCCUGCUUAUUUGAUCUUUUCUGCCCCCUACUUGAAAUUGUGGUUUGUUGUUUG